rfam:Coprinopsis cinerea okayama7#130 cont3.68 mitochondrial, whole genome shotgun sequence.
AUCAGUAAGAAUUUAAUUUUGGUUCUGAUUGAACGUUUUUCAGUAGUCUAAGACAUGCAAAUCGUUUGUUCUAUAGCAAGUUAAUCUUGGAAACAAGUUAACUAAGCAAAGAACAAGGUGUACAGGUGAGUAAUGAUAAAUUAGAUACCUUAUAGACCUCUCAAAUAGAGGAUAGUUUCUAAAUAUUAGGAACAUAGAAUAGCUUUUCUAUAAUAAAGGAAAUUUUCCGCUAUAAGAAUUGAUUUAUUUUGUUUAAUGGUAGUUGGUAGAGUAAAAGCCUACCAAGCCUACGAUCAAUAGUCAAGUUUGAAAGAACCUCUGGCCACAUUGGGAAUGAGAAGUCCCAAAUUGCAUAAGCAAUCUGCAGUCAAGAAUAUUAGUCAAUGCUCGCAAGAGUGAACUAGCUAACUGAAAUCAUAAAAUCAUUUAAAAGUGGUAUUUAUGAUAACGUAAAGGAAAAAAAUGAUGUUACUUUACUAUAAGUGUUGUCUAAAUUACUGGUGCCAGAAGACUCGGUAACGCCAGAAACGCAAACGUUAGUCGUCUUUAAAAGGCGUAAAGGGUAAGUAGGCAGUUUACUAAAGUUUUUAUUUAAAAAGCUCUUAUUUUUACUUACUAUUAAUGCGUAAGCAUUAUAAGUGAAAAUAAGUUAAAAAUAGAACGAAUAUAAACUAGAAUCAUAUAGAGGAUAAACCAAAUAAUAUUAAGAGUAGGGAUGAUAUCCUUAGAUACUUAGUGGAAUACUAAAGGUGAAAGCUUUUUAUCUAAUAAUGAUUGACGCUGAGGAACGAAGGUGAGAAUAGGAAAUAGGAUUAGAUACCCAGAUACCUCUCACUGUCAACGAUGAAUGGUAGUUAUUAAUUUUUAAAUUAAUUGAUAGCGAUGUUAACGCGUUAACCAUUCCGCCUUGAGAGUACGGUUGCAAAACUGAAACCAAAAAAAUUAGUCGGUCUCGAAGCAAACGAAGUGAAGCAUGUUAUUUAAUACGAAAGUACGCGUAAAAUCUUACCAGUUCUUGUAUAUCCAUUAUAUCUCUCUCUUACUUCUUAUUUACUCUCACAAGUGGAAAGUAAGGAAGAAAGGAAAGAGAGAUAAAUAUAAUGAGUAAUUUCUUAAUUAAGAGAAAUUCGUUUACAGGUGUUGCAUGGCUGUCGUCAGUCCGUAUUGUGAAAAGUUAGGUUAACUCCACUAACGGACGCAAUCCCUGUUGUUAAUUUAUACUUAACAAUUUAUGAAUUUUAAAUAAAUUCAUUUGGGACUAAGACAAGUCGUUAUGGCCCUCAUGAACUGGGCUAUCGACGUGCUAUAAUAACUUUUACAAAGUGACGCAAAAUCUAUAUAAUUUUAUAGUUAGAAUAAGCAAAUCAUUAAAAAAAGUUAAUUGAUUUAUAUAGACGGAUUGUUGUCUGAAAUUCGGCAACAUGAAGGAGGAAUUUCGAGUAAUCGUUGAUCAUUACGCAACGGUGAAGCUUAUAUUCGGGAUGAACUAACUGUCUGUCGCUGGGAAGAAGCUUGGAUAGAGAGAAACUACUUAUUUAGUUAUACUUAAUAAAAAAUUUUGUUUAACUCUUACCUUAGUUAUUAUAUAACUAAAUAAUUGAGUCAAAAACCUUUUUUAUUUUUAUAUCUUAAAUACUAGUGUACUCUUCUGAGUAACAUCUCAAAAGUCAUAGCAAGGUAGCUGUACUGGAAAGUGCCGCUGGAUAAUAAUUAAA